rnacentral:rRNA from 1 species
AGAGUUUGAUCCUGGCUCAGAUUGAACGCUGGCGGUAUGCUUAACACAUGCAAGUCGAACGGCAGCAUGACUUGUUAGCAAUACAAGUUGAUGGCAAGUGGCGGACGGGUGAGUAACGCGUAGGAAUCUGCCUUAAAGAGGGGGACAACCUUAGGAAACUGAGGCUAAUACCGCAUAUCUUCGAGAGAAAAAAGCUGGGUUGAAAGACCUGGCGCUUUAAGAGGAGCCUGCGUCUGAUUAGCUAGUUGGUGGGGUAUAAGGCCUACCCAGGGCGAUGAUUCAGUAACCUGGUCUGAAAAAGAUUACCAGCCACACUGGAACUGAAACACGGGUCCAGACUCUUACGGGGAGGCAGCAGUGGGGAAUAUUGGACAAUGGGGGAAACCCUGAUCCAGCAAUACCGCGUGUGUGAAGAACGCCUUCGGGUUGUAAAGCACUU